rnacentral:lncRNA from 1 species
AUGAGGGAAUCUGAGGUUCAGCACUCUGAUUUCAUGCAACUGUCCUUAAGAAGAUUUUCUAGGAUAAAUUUGGCCAGGAAAAUAUCCACAGAGGCCUGGAGCAACAGAACCUGGAUUAGACAUGUACACUUCUCACCAAUUAUGUCUAGUGGGAAAUAUCUUUAAACUUUUGGGCCAAGAGCUUUUAAGUGGACUAAGACAUAUAAGGCAAGGGAAACAACUGCUUAGAGAAAUUCAAAUGCAGAUUAAUUGGGCAAGCAAUCUCCUUUGAGAUUUAUAACUUUCAUCUGGCUACAACCAGAAAUCCU